rnacentral:rRNA from 1 species
UUACUCCUACGGGGCGCAGCAGUGAGGAAUAUUGGUCAAUGGGCUAAGGCCUGAACCAGCCAAGUCGCGUGAGGGAAGACGGUCCUAUGGAUUGUAAACCUCUUUUGUCGGGGAGCAACGAGGCCACGUGUGGCCGAAGUGAGAGUACCCGAAGAAAAAGCAUCGGCUAACUCCGUGCCAGUAGCCGCGGUAAUACGGAGGAUCCAAGCGUUAUCCGGAUUUAUUGGGUUUAAAGGGUGCGUAGGCGGAUUGAUAAGUUAGAGGUGAAAUGUCCGAGCUCAACUCGGGAACUGCCUCUAAUACUG